rnacentral:rRNA from 1 species
UCGGGAAUUUUGUGCAAUGGGCGAAAGCCUGACACAGCAACGCCGCGUGAAGGAUGAAGUCCCUCGGGAUGUAAACUUCGUAAGAAUAGGAAGAAUAAAUGACGGUACUAUUUGUAAGGUCCGGCUAACUACGUGCCAGCAGCCGCGGUAAUACGUAGGGACCAAGCGUUGUUCGGAUUUACUGGGCGUAAAGGGUGCGUAGGCGGCAUAUCAAGUCACUUGUGAAAUCUCCGAGCUUAACUCGGAACGGUCAAGUGAUACUGCUGUGCUAGAGUACAGAAGGGGCAAUCGGAAUUCUUGGUGUAGCGGUGAAAUGCGUAGAUAUCAAGAGGAACACCUGAGGUGAAGACGGGUUGCUGGGCUGAUACUGACGCUGAGGCGCGAAAGCUAGGGUAGCAAACGGGAUUAGAUACCCAAGUAGUCCCUGAGCGGGCUGGCAAGGCGCAU